UAUUAAAUUUUGAUAAGAGCAUGAGAAUGUAUAAUAUCCUUGUUAGAAUGAACUACAAAUGCAGAGGCUUAUCAGGUUAGGAUAGUAUUAUCAAACUUGUUUGACUGACUUUCAAAUAUAAACAAGAAUAGAUAACUCUAAAAUUUCCAGAAGAAGCAUUUCCUAAUUUUAAACACUAUAUAAUAGUUGUUUUUUUUACAAAAGCAUGUACUUGCCACUACACUAUUAUCACAGACAUUAAAUUGUGAGAUUUAUACUUAAAGCUUACCACUUUAUGAUUUACAAUCUUAUAGUUCUUCAGCAACAAUGAUUAGUACCCUAACUACUGGUACAGACAUACAGCAUUCUUGUAAUAUGUAUAUCUUUCAACAAAAUAAUGUAUUUUUUUAUUAACUCAACUGCUGAAAAUAAUCAAAUGGCUUUGUUAUUGGGACAAACCUGUUCUAAGAUUUCAGGUGCCUCUUUUGUUGAAUUCCUGCCUCCCUGGUGGAGUCUUUUGAGUGAUCAAACAUAGUUUCUGUUUCCUAAAAUGUUUUUUCGUGUUUGAAAAUUGUGAUCAAACAUAGUUUCUGUUUCCUAAAAUGUUUUUUCGUGUUUGAAAAUUA